rnacentral:rRNA from 1 species
GGAGGGUGCGAGCGUUGUUCGGAAUUACUGGGCGUAAAGAGCGUGUAGGCGGCUAACUAAGUCUGGUGUGAAAGCCCGGGGCUCACCCCCGGAAGUGCGCUGGAAACUGGUUAGCUAGAGUAUGGGAGAGGGAAGUGGAAUUCCUGGUGUAGCGGUGAAAUGCGUAGAUAUCAGGAGGAACACCGGCGGCGAAGGCGGCUUCCUGGACCAAUACUGACGCUGAGACGCGAAAGCGUGGGGAGCAAACAGGAUUAGAUACCCUGGUAGUCCACGCCGUAAACGAUGGGCACUAGGUGCCCGCGGGUAUUGACCCCCUGCGGUGCCCGCAGCUAACGCAUUAAGUGCCCCGCCUGGGGAGUACGGUCGCAAGAUUAA